AGCUGGUGUUGUAUAGUGGUUUGAAUGUUGGAUUAUGACUCUGGAGACCAGGGUUCAAAUCCCCGCUCGGCUA